CACGGAGUUAGCCGGUGCUUCUUCUGUAGUUAACGUCAAUCAUCUAGUCUAUUAAACUAAAUGCCUUCCUCGCUACCGAAAGAACUUUACAACCCGAAGGCCUUCUUCAUUCACGCGGCAUGGCUGCAUCAGGGUUCCCCCCAUUGUGCAAUAUUCCCCACUGCUGCCUCCCGUAGGAGUCUGGACCGUGUCUCAGUUCCAGUGUGGCUGGUCAUCCUCUCAGACCAGCUAGAGAUCGUCGGCUUGGUGAGCCUUUACCUCACCAACUACCUAAUCCCACUUGGGCUCAUCUCAUGGCAGGUGGCCUUGCGGUCCCACCCUUUAAUCUCUCGAUAUUACGCGGUAUUAGCUACAGUUUCCCGUAGUUACUCCCCCUCCAUAAGCUAGAUUCCCAAGCAUUACUCACCCGUCGCCACUCGUCAGCAAAGAAGCAAGCUUUCUUCUGUUACCGUUCGACUUGCAUGUGUUAAGCCUGCCGCAGCGUUCAAUCUGAGCCA
rnacentral:rRNA from 1 species